GAUGAAGAACGUAGCGAAAUGCGAUAAGUAAUGUGAAUUGCAGAAUUCAGUGAAUCAUCGAAUCUUUGAACGCAUCUUGCGCUCCUUGGUAUUCUGAGGAGCAUGCCUGUUUGAGUGUCAUUAAAUUCUCAACUACACUGACUUUGAAUUGGUGUGGCUUGGAUUUGGGGGGAAAAUUGUUGUGGGCUUUUUGUAUAGUCUGCUCCCCUGAAAUUGAUUAGCGGUACCUUUGUGGAACUGUCUACAGGUGUGAUAAUUAUCUACAUCUUAGACAUCUGCUGGAAUGCUGCUUUCUAAACCUUACUUGUAUUGACAAUCUUGACCUCAAAUCAGGUAGGACUACCCGCUGAACUUAAGCAUAUCAAUAAGCGGGA
rnacentral:misc_RNA from 1 species